rnacentral:lncRNA from 1 species
UAGAGUACUCUCGUCUUAUAGAUGGAUUAUUAUGUAAUGAAUAUAUGGCUCAAAAGUUCAAAUUUGAACUAGUGUCAAGUUCUUUUCAUAUUUUCUUGCAAAUAGGGUAACUGGUGUUUGUCUAUAGAUGUAAGAUUCACUGAUUCGGAACACCAUAGUUUUUUUUUUUUGGUAGAUGAACACCAUAGUUUCUACUUGACACUUAAGUAAACAAUGUUUUAGUAGCAGAAGUAUUUAAUUUUUCUUAACAAAUGAUAUGAAUAGUUACAGUUAAACGGAU